CUUCUUCUUCUCCUUCUUUAUUUUCUUCUUUUUCUCUAUGAAACAACUCACGUCGGGGUACCACAAAGCCAUUGCCAGAGUUCCCUUUUGCCAUCACGCGCCGGAGCUAGACCACCAGUGGCCGGCGACAACCCCAUCUCCAAAAUCUCAGGGCCAUCGUAGUUAAGACGCAUACGAACGGAGCAGUCAAAGUUUCGUCGUCAAAACUUUGACCGCACUUUUCCGGCGAACCCAGACAUCCGUUCGGUGAGUGGGUGGCACCGUUGGAACCAGCGUGAAGGGAGGAACGUCGCCCACUAAGUCAUUUCAGUCAACUCACCAUUUUUCUCCGGCGAAAUUUUGGGUAUCUCCGCCCCUUUGGAAGCAUUUUCCGGCGACACCGGAGGUCAUUUGGGUGAAGGAGUUGUACUUUCGUGAUGUACUCAUCGAGAUGAUUGUUUUGAUAUAUGUCAUGCAUAUAUUCAUUGACGUUUCCAGUACUGCCACCGACCGCUAUUGUGCACCGCUUGGGAAAAACGUGAUAUUAAAAUCGAACUAAAUCAUUCUAAGAUCAUCAACAAGCUUAGGAGCGUUGCUUUGGGCUCGGAUUAAAUUCUAAAGAGGUAGGGACUCAACUUGGCCAUUGGACUUAUUUUACUUGUAUUGAAUUGCAUUAAACAUAUUCCAAUUUUGAUAUUUAUAAAAUGUUUGAAAAAUUGAAAACUUAAUCUGCAUGUUUUCUGAUCUGUUCUGAGGGCACUGGGUGCCAAAUAUAUUUUUGUUCACUUAUUUAUGCAGAUUAUGAUUUUUGGAUUUUAUUUAAAUGCAACUGUUAUGCUACCCAAUUUUCUAAAAUAUAAAGGGAAUAUGUUUCUGUCUUUUCAUGUUUACCUACACUUAGUUAUACCGAUGAGAGCCAUAGUGAUCAUGAUUGGUGCACGUUGUUGUUUCAUGACCUAGUCUAUGUGUCAUCAUAGGUAGAUCAGGUGUCCACUCACCUGUAGGUGUAAAGACGUAGCAUCUGUAUACAUGAAGUGUUCUGAGCCUCCCCCUUGUGGUGGUUAUCAAGUCCGGCUACCCAGUUUAGGAUGUUGGCUUUCUAUGGUGGGUAACGGGAACUAGGGAUCUAAUGGACAGUGUGAUGUGCACUUGUAGCUAUGCUCUUAUGAUUAUUUGUGGUUUCUCUAUUUUGGUUUAUACAUGAUGAUGUAUGUUUUGUUUUCAAAGCUAAUCAUGCAGGGGUUGUAUUAAACUUUUGGGUCCUAUGUUAUUAGUUAUUUUCCUACUGGACUUUAUAAGCUCACCCCUAU